AGUCGGGAAAUGCGUUGGGGAGCAAGCAGAUAGAUACCUUGGUAGUCAACGCCAGUAAACGAUGAGUGCUAAGUGUUAAGGGGGUUUCCGCCCCUUAGUGCUGCAGCUAACGCAUUAAAGCACUCCGCCGUGGGAGUACGGUCGCAAGACUGAAACUCAAAGGAAUUGACGAGGGCCCGCACAAGCGGUGGAGCAUGUGGUUUAAUUCGAAGUGACGCGAAGAACCUUACCAGGUCUUGACAUCCCGUUGACCACUGUAGAGAUAUGGUUUUCCCUCCGGGGACAACGGUGACAGGUGGUGCAUGGUUGUCGUCAGCUCGUGUCGUGAGAUGUCGGGUUAAGUCCCGCAACGAGCGCAACCCUUGAUCUUAGUUGCCAUCAUUUAGUUGGGCACUCUAAGGUGACUGCCGGUGACAAACCGGAGGAAGGUGGGGAUGACGUCAAAUCAUCAUGCCCCUUAUGACCUGGGCUACACACGUGCUACAAUGGACGAUACAAACGGUUGCCAACUCGCGAGAGGGAGCUAAUCCGAUAAAGUCGUUCUCAGUUCGGAUUGUAGGCUGCAACUCGCCUACAUGAAGCCGGAAUCGCUAGUAAUCGCGGAUCAGCAUGCCGCGGUGAAUACGUUCCCGGGCCUUGUACACACCGCCCGUCACACCACGAGAGUUUGUAACACCCGAAGUCGGUGAGGUAACCUUUUGGAGCCAGCCGCCGAAGGUGGGAUAGAUGAUUGGGGUGAAGUCGUAACAAGGUAACC
rnacentral:rRNA from 1 species